rnacentral:rRNA from 1 species
GAGUUUGAUCGUGGCUCAGAUUGAACGCUGGCGGUAUGCUUAACACAUGCAAGUCGAACGGUAACAGGAGAGAGCUUGCUCUUUUGCUGACGAGUGGCGGACGGGUGAGUAAUGCGUAGGAAUCUGCCUAGUAGUGGGGGACAACGUGUGGAAACGCACGCUAAUACCGCAUACGCCCUACGGGGAAGCGGGGAGUCUUCGGACCUCGCGCUAUUAGAUGAGCCUACGUUAGAUUAGCUAGUUGGUGGGUAAAGGCCUACCAAGGCGACGAUCUAUAGCUGGUCUGAGAGGAUGAUCAGCCACACUGGGACUGAGACACGGCCCAGACUCCUACGGGAGGCAGCAGUGGGGAAUAUUGGACAAUGGGCGAAAGCCUGAUCCAGCAAUACCGCGUGUGUGAAGAAGGCCUGAGGGUUGU